AUGCCUGGCAGCAUCCAUGUCUCAGUAUCUUACUUCUCAGCUGCUCAAUCACCAGCUGCCACAGCUCCACUGUUCUUGCAAGUUACGUCACUUCGUGAGAGCAUGGUGAUGCUGCUGUACAAUGCAGAUAGAUCAUUAAUAUCACAAGCAGAACUGAAGAUGAAAGCAGUUGUUGAGUCAGGAACUAUGGAUGUUGAUUUUAGUCUUGACAAUGGAGGAAGCAUUAUUCUAAGGCUGCAGUUCCUACUCAGUGAUGAAGAUCGCAGACGGGUCCAAGAAAUGAGGAACUCUGCAGUGAAAAGAAAGCAGCAAGAGCUGCUUUCUGAUGGUUAUGUACUUUCUCAAGACAGCUUGUUGUCUAAACAAGUCGAAAAUAUCUCCAACAUUUCGAGAGAAGGAGAUGAAUCUUCAGUUAGGAAGAGCAUGUCACUGGAUGAUUUGCAGGAGAAGGCUGUUUUCUCUGCAAUUAUUGUAGAUCCCCAGAUGAAAGACACAAAAGAAUCACCGGAGCAAAGUGGAUCAAAUAGUACAGUGCAGAAAAUGAUAAGUGCCUUUCAAAGCAGCUCUCCACAGUCUUCUUCAGACAAGUCAUCUAGUUCACUAGCAACCCAGGAUGUUUCAGGCCACACAGAGGCAGGUCUUGUGGCUGGGACAUCAGGCAAAAUGCAGCUUCCUCCUGGUGACAAAAGCUUCAGUAACAAAAGAUCAAAUGCAACCGAGCAACAGGCCGUUCUGUCAACCACAUCUGAAGGCAGAAUCCGUAGGCUAUUCAGAGAGAAGAAGGACCUCGAUAAUUCAGAGAUGGUGAUCACAGUCCAAAACCGGAGCAAGAAGCGGUCGAUGCCGAAGCGUCGUCGCGCCGCCAUUGGCCCUUACUCUCUUGAACAAAUGCAUCCCCAUGUCUGCAUCACCACUGCAAGCAGGCAGCUGAGAGAGCUUGUUGAGCUUGAGCCACCCUUGGAUUCGUUUGUGUUUGUAGGACAAGUUGAUAUCAAGAGACCAAAUGUGAGGGGAGGAGCUAGCAUGCAAGAUCAGGUAUGAUUAUGAGAGAAAUUUUAUGAAUCUAGAGAAAGUAUCUGUUGGUACUAAAAUUUUAAUGUUAUGAGUCUACAGAAAGUAUCUGUCGGUACUAAAAUUUUAACUAAAAAAUUUGAUGCCUCGAGACACUAGUAUCUGGAGAUAUCAAGUUUUACAUUAGAAAAUAUAGUACCUCUCGAUGUCUUCUCCAAAAUGAUAAAAUUAUCCUUAAACUGAUAGUUUCAGCUUAGCCUGCUGAUCCCUGAACUUAUGCACUCC
rnacentral:lncRNA from 1 species